CGGACCUCCACACUGAGCCAUGCCCACCCCCGACGCCACCACGCCACAGGCCAAGGGCUUCCGCAGGGCCGUGUCUGAGCUGGACGCCAAGCAGGCAGAGGCCAUCAUGGUAAGAGGGCAGGCGCCCCGGGGCCCAGCCUCACAGGCUCUCCGUGGCCUGGAACUGCAGCCCCAGCUGCAUCCUACACCCCCACCCCAAGGGUAAGUAAGAG
rnacentral:lncRNA from 1 species